GGAGAGAUGGCCGAGCGGUUUAAGGCGGCGGUCUUGAAAACCGUUGAUGCUUAAAACAUCCGGGGGUUCGAAUCCCUCUCUCUCCGCCA
rnacentral:tRNA from 1 species